rnacentral:rRNA from 1 species
GUGAGGAAUUUUCCGCAAUGGGCGAAAGCCUGACGGAGCAAUGCCGCGUGAAGGAUGAAGGCCUAUGGGUUGUAAACUUCUUUUCUCAGAAAAGAAUUAUGACGGUAUCUGAGGAAUAAGCAUCGGCUAACUCUGUGCCAGCAGCCGCGGUAAGACAGAGGAUGCAAGCGUUAUCCGGAAUGAUUGGGCGUAAAGCGUCUGUAGGUUGUUUAAAAAGUAUUCUGCCAAAGAUUAGGGCUUAACCCUAGAUAGGCAGAAUAAACUUUUAAGCUAGAGUUUGGUAGAGGCAGAGGGAAUUCCCGGUGGAGCGGUGAAAUGCGUAGAUAUCGGGAGGAACACCAAAGGCGAAGGCACUCUGCUGGGCCAAUACUAACACUGAGAGACGAAAGCGAGGGGAGCAAAUGGGAUUAGAAACCCCUGUAGUCC